rnacentral:rRNA from 1 species
UAGGAAUUGGCGGGGGAGCACCACAAGGGGUGGAGUCUGCGGUUCAAUUGGAUUCAACGCCGGGAAACUCACCGGGGGCGACGGCAGAAUGAUAGCCAAGCUGACGACUUUGCUUGACGAGCCGAGAGGAGGUGCAUGGCCGUCGUCAGCUCGUACUGUGAAGCGUCCUGUUAAGUCAGGCAACGAGCGAGACCCGUGCCCUUAGUUGCUAAUUUUUCCCAUCGGGAAAAGUGCACUCUAGGGGGACCGCCAGUGAUAAACUGGAGGAAGGUGCGGGCGACUAUAGGUCAGUAUGCCCCGAAUCCCCCGGGCUACACGCGGACUACAAUGGAUGGUACAAUGAGUUUCGACUCCGAGAGGAGAAGGAAAUCCCCAAAACCAUCCCAAGUUCAGAUUGCGGGUUGCAACCCACCCGCAUGAAGCCGGAAUCCCUAGUAAUCGCGUGUCAUCAUCGCGCGGUGAAUAUGUCCCUGCUCCUUGCACACACCGCCCG